UACAGAGGGGGCAAGCGUUAUUCGGAAUUAUUGGGCGUAAAGGGCGCGUAGGCGGCUUUGCAAGUGACGGGUGAAAUCCCUCGGCUUAACCGAGGAACUGCCUGUCAGACUGCAUGGCUUGAGACCAGGAGAGGUGAGUGGAAUUCCCAGUGUAGCGGUGAAAUGCGUAGAUAUUGGGAGGAACACCAGUGGCGAAGGCGGCUCACUGGACUGGUACUGACGCUGAGGCGCGAAAGCGUGGGGAGCAAACGGG
rnacentral:rRNA from 1 species